UAACACGUGGGUAACCUGCCCAUAAGACUGGGAUAACUCCGGGAAACCGGGGCUAAUACCGGAUAACAUUUUGAACCGCAUGGUUCGAAAUUGAAAGGCGGCUUCGGCUGUCACUUAUGGAUGGACCCGCGUCGCAUUAGCUAGUUGGUGAGGUAACGGCUCACCAAGGCAACGAUGCGUAGCCGACCUGAGAGGGUGAUCGGCCACACUGGGACUGAGACACGGCCCAGACUCCUACGGGAGGCAGCAGUAGGGAAUCUUCCGCAAUGGACGAAAGUCUGACGGAGCAACGCCGCGUGAGUGAUGAAGGCUUUCGGGUCGUAAAACUCUGUUGUUAGGGAAGAACAAGUGCUAGUUGAAUAAGCUGGCACCUUGACGGUACCUAACCAGAAAGCCACGGCUAACUACGUGCCAGCAGCCGCGGUAAUACGUAGGUGGCAAGCGUUAUCCGGAAUUAUUGGGCGUAAAGCGCGCGCAGGUGGUUUCUUAAGUCUGAUGUGAAAG
rnacentral:rRNA from 1 species